rnacentral:lncRNA from 1 species
CAUAUAUUCUUAUGAGCAGGUGAUUUUUUGGUGAUGUAAUUCCCUAUUUCUUCUAUUAAGAUUAAUUGAUUUAAACUUUAUAUUCGAUCUGAAGCUAACUUUAUAAACUGUAUUUCCUCCAUUUCAUCUAUGUUUUCAAAUUUAUUUUUAUAGGAUUGAUAAAUUAUAGUAACUUCUGACUUUUAAAAGUUUUGUUUCAUUGUUAUUUUGCUCUUUCGAUUUCUUUAUUGCAUGUAUUUAAUACUGAGAGGCUAGGUAAUUUGCCAAAAUUAACUCAGCUGACUAUAAGAGAUGAGAUUUGUACACAGGCAUUUUGAGAGGAAAGCCUGUCAGUCUACCUCAUACAUUUUAAGAUGGAUUUAUUUGUGAGAUACAGUUAGAAAAUGUAAAAUAAAAAAAUAGGAUGGAGGGCUGCAGUGUGAGCUCCAGUCCUGGGGCGGAUGCGUCUGCGAUGCCCUCCACACUGGUGCCUUGAGGAGGAAUUACUUGGAGCUGAGGGAGGCCCAGCCUCUAGGCUCAGGGACUGGGGAGCUUCUGAGAGGAAUGGAUGUGUGUUGGCUUAGGCUAUUAAUGUAAGUGCUCAUUACGUUAGAAAGUAUUAUUUCAGUAAAAGAUGUAUAUGCGUGUGCUAUCAAACUAGUGAGAAUCUGAGAAGCAUAUGAUGAAAAUAGAAAAUGAGUUUUACUACAAAAUAGCGGGUAAAGAGAACUGAUAAAAU